UUGAGCGCUGGCGGCAUGCCUUACACAUGCAAGUCGAACGGCAGCACGGGUGCUUGCACCUGGUGGCGAGUGGCGAACGGGUGAGUAAUACAUCGGAACAUGUCCUGUAGUGGGGGAUAGCCCGGCGAAAGCCGGAUUAAUACCGCAUACGAUCUACGGAUGAAAGCGGGGGACCUUCGGGCCUCGCGCUAUAGGGUUGGCCGAUGGCUGAUUAGCUAGUUGGUGGGGUAAAGGCCUACCAAGGCGACGAUCAGUAGCUGGUCUGAGAGGACGACCAGCCACACUGGGACUGAGACACGGCCCAGACUCCUACGGGAGGCAGCAGUGGGGAAUUUUGGACAAUGGGCGAAAGCCUGAUCCAGCAAUGCCGCGUGUGUGAAGAAGGCCUUCGGGUUGUAAAGCACUUUUGUCCGGAAAGAAAUCCUUGGCUCUAAUACAGUCGGGGGAUGACGGUACCGGAAGAAUAAGCACCGGCUAACUACGUGCCAGCAGCCGCGGUAAUACGUAGGGUGCGAGCGUUAAUCGGAAUUACUGGGCGUAAAGCGUGCGCAGGCGGUUUGCUAAGACCGAUGUGAAAUCCCCGGGCUCAACCUGGGAACUGCAUUGGUGACUGGCAGGCUAGAGUAUGGCAGAGGGGGGGUAGAAUUCCACGUGUAGCAGUGAAAUGCGUAGAGAUGUGGAGGAAUACCGAUGGCGAAGGCAGCCCCCUGGGCCAAUACUGACGCUCAUGCACGAAAGCGUGGGGAGCAAACAGGAUUAGAUACCCUGGUAGUCCACGCCCUAAACGAUGUCAACUAGUUGUUGGGGAUUCAUUUCCUUAGUAACGUAGCUAACGCGUGAAGUUGACCGCCUGGGGAGUACGGUCGCAAGAUUAAAACUCAAAGGAAUUGACGGGGACCCGCACAAGCGGUGGAUGAUGUGGAUUAAUUCGAUGCAACGCGAAAAACCUUACCUACCCUUGACAUGGUCGGAAUCCCGCUGAGAGGUGGGAGUGCUCGAAAGAGAACCGGCGCACAGGUGCUGCAUGGCUGUCGUCAGCUCGUGUCGUGAGAUGUUGGGUUAAGUCCCGCAACGAGCGCAACCCUUGUCCUUAGUUGCUACGCAAGAGCACUCUAAGGAGACUGCCGGUGACAAACCGGAGGAAGGUGGGGAUGACGUCAAGUCCUCAUGGCCCUUAUGGGUAGGGCUUCACACGUCAUACAAUGGUCGGAACAGAGGGUUGCCAACCCGCGAGGGGGAGCUAAUCCCAGAAAACCGAUCGUAGUCCGGAUUGCACUCUGCAACUCGAGUGCAUGAAGCUGGAAUCGCUAGUAAUCGCGGAUCACGCAUGCCGCGGUGAAUACGUUCCCGGGUCUUGUACUCACCGCCC
rnacentral:rRNA from 1 species